AUAAAAAGGAUAAUUAAGUUUCAUUGUGGAAAUAAGAGGGUAAUCUGUCCAGACAAAUCUAGGACCAAGUACUGAAAGCUGUAGUAUCUGAAUAUAAAAAAUGAGUAAUUUUGGAGAAAGAUGUCUAUCAGGACUGUAAAUUCAGAGAGUAAAAAUGUAGCUUUGCUUAAUAGACCAUCUCUCUCUCCAUCUCCCUCUAACUCAUUUUCUUAUUCUCUUUCUUCCUUUUGUGUUACUGCAAAAAAAUGUGUGCAAAAUCUGAUAUUGAGAAUGCUUUAGCUUCGUUUCAAUCUUCUAUUCUCAAAAUGUAUUCUCACUGGGAAGAUUCCCCCUGGGAGAUAACCUCAGCCAAGGUUGUGGGGUGACUGAUUUGCAGAGGAGCCACUGCACUUUGAGGUGGCUCUGAGGCAGCCAGGUCCCCACUCUUCUGAGGCUCUUAAAGAUAUUUGUGAGCUGCCAUGAGAAAUCACCUGGGACUCAGAGCAGACCACAAGUGCUUAGGACAGUGUUUUCUCUGCACCUUUUUUUUGCUGAGCAGAAUUGCAGCACUAUAAACAAAUGUGAGUUUUGCCUCAUUCUUAGGUCCUGUGAGUUAUGAAAGCCCACUCCAGAUGUAAUGAAUGUAUAGAUCAUUUUGACCAGAUCAUAAUCUAUUAGUAAAUAAUGCUCUCUGAAAAUACAUAGGUGAAAUAAAGAACUUCUUGCUACUAUUGCUGUAUUGGUAUCAAGGAUUACUGUGGAGGCCAACAUGAUCCUGAGGCUUUGUGCCACUGACAUUUAAAUACAAUGCAGAAUUAACUACAGGGUUUGGCUAGCAAAUUCCCUUCUGGAUUUGGAUAUUCAGGAUUUACACUGUUGGAAACAGAACCCAAAACUAUACAAGGCUUACCUGUGCCUUGGCUUCAGCUCACUGACCCUUCACUCAUAUUUAUAGAAUUUUUUCAUUAGAUUCCUAAUUUUGGUGGUGAUAUUAAUUAGCAAAUCACACAAUACUUUUCAGAAUGAUUAGUCUGAUAGAGCAAACCCCUAUAACACCUCUGACUUUUCUUCACUAUCCCUGGAGGAAGCCCAAGGGUACCAGACUAAGACCUAAGGCAAAUUGUCAGCACAGUCUAUAGGCCAUGGGAAGGUUAGGUUUAAAGAAGAUGUCACUUUAGGGACAUCUGUGUGACACAUGCUGCAGUGUCCAGACAUUGGAGACUAUGUUUUUGCUCUAAAUCUAGAGAGGAAGUCACUAGGAAAAAAAAGGGAAAGAAGCACAGGGGAAUAAAAGUACUUUUGAAAGAGAAGAAAUCUACAUUUCAAUGAAAAUCCUUUCAAGGCAUUUCAAAUAAGAGUCUGAGAGAAAUAAUUACAAAGUUUGGAGAGAAAGAACGUUAGCUUUGAUAUCUUUUUCUUCUAUGAAGCAAUUAAAAUAAGCAAUUUUUCAAAUACUAAGCAGAAAAUUACUAAUGGCUGAACCCAAAAGCUUUCAUUUCCUUCUUGGGGCCUUUAUUCUUCUAAAAAAAGACAAAAAAAAUGUGAAGGUGGUUUUCCAGAUAGAUUAAUGCAUAAAGCAGUCGCUAGUUGGAUGUCAUAAAAACUACAGCAGCAUAGAAUAGCUGAGAUUAAGAGCUAGAUUUAAAUCAUGCAACAGUCCAGUUAAUAUCAAUGUCUAAUUAAGAAAUGCAUAAGAAGUCUGUAAUGUUGAUUUGAUGGAGAAAAACUCUAAUAGGGUUUCUUUUGGAAUUUUCCAUUUCAAUUGCUGUGUGGACUUUUAAUGGAUGUCCUAUCCAGUCUUUGGUAUUAGCAGGAAUCAUCCUCAAAUUAAAACCAAGGCCUAAAACGGAGCACAGGUAGACAAAUUAGCUGGUCUGGGAAGCAGCCUGGGUAGAAUGACAAUGUGAGCUGAAGCCGAAAUUUUUGUACAAAUAAAAGAGAACAAACGUCUCAAAUCUGGUGUGGAAACCCUCUCUGCUUCUCCUUUGAAAGAAUCUAAAACCCUGUAAUUUGAAACAAUGCAAUGUUAACCCAUUUCCCCACCUCCCUAAGCCUGCAGAAAUCCCUGACAAUUCAUACUUAGACACCUAGACCACUAAGCAUUAUUAAUUAGUCUUUUUUUAUUUAAAAGACUUUCCAUAGUUAUGCAUAUUAGUGGUGUGUAGAGGUGGGUUCUUCUCUGCUUGUGAUGGGAUUUAGAGCACACAGGUCCCUGUCAUCAUCAAGGAGCACCAUUAAUCUCCCACUCCUCUCUGGGUAACUAAAUCUCUUCAACCCCUGGAUCAAAACUAAGCCUGUGGCAUCUUCUAUGUCCCAUGGAUCAUCCAAGAUGUUUGGUCUCUAGAUAUGAAAGGGGAACUGGUUUUGAGCACAUGACUAAUGCCCUGAAGUUGCUGGAAGAGGAGCAGUGUAACUCUUAGUAUAAACAAAUCCACUUAGCAAAGAGGGAAAAGCACAGUGCUGGGUUAAAGCAGCAGUAUAUUUGUUAUCACUGCUCUGUUGUUGCAGAGGGAAUGAUCUCAGGGAUCCAGGAAGUUGGCACACUCAGAAUAACCCCUCUGACCAAUGUGUGCUGGGGAGUAAUUUUAAAGUUCAUCAGAACACAUUAAAAUAUAAUACAUCGUCCAUGGCAAAGCAAGGCAUGUGAUUCCAUCUGUGUACAAGUCUCUUUCCAGCACAAAAUCCAUCCAGAGACCUUUCAGAAUUAUAUCAUUAAGUCUUGUCAUGUCCACAGAGAGUGGAAAAGACUGGAGGAGAAAAGCAGAGCAACAGUGAAAUUUUGGCACUUUUAUUUUUGGGUCGUUGCCUGAAAUGUCACGGUCCAAAUUCAUGCCUGACAUUGUUCCUUUGAUCCAUGAGGCACAAAUAUGUCAGAUUGAAGAGUGACACCAUGGCCCUGGGGGAUGUCCCAAGGAUCUAUCUCCUUGAAAGAGAUGGGAACAAGGAUGUUCUCAGUGAGGCAUCUCCCUUCCCAGGGGUACAGAAGGUCUAAUGUGAGGACACUCAGGCCAUCAGAGGUUCUGGGUUUUUUACCCUGCUCUUGGCUGUAAGGCUGGGAGGUGCCAUGGGUUGGGAUGAUGCUAGAGAAUUGUUCAGGUGGAGUUCUAACAGGGUGCUUUGUCUGCAGCCUUUAUUAGAUUUAUGCAAUACUUAGGGAAAAAAAAAAAACAAGAGUAUGAAACAGGCUGUCUUUUGCAAACACACACAACAGAAAAAAACCCAAACCUUAACUUGUUCAACACGCUUGAGAGCCACAAAUUUUGUUACAGUUUUGCUAAAUGAGAGGAAUAUUUCUCCCCUCCUCUCUAAAACCAUCCUUUUAGACAUUACUGCAGUCAUGACCUCACUGCAGUUCCUGGAUUCCUUCUGAAAAGAUUAAAAUGAACUAAUACACAAAUGAUCUCAUCCCAGCAUAAAGGACAUCUCACACAGGGGGGAAAAACUAAUCAGGAGAACUUCAGUGAUGCAUUUGUAGUAGCAGUAGAAAAAGAACUGUAACACCACUGUGGAAAAACAAACUAAAGGUACAAUGGCAGAGAGGCUUUUUUCCAUCCUAUGAGCCAUUUGGAUUUGUCCUACCUGAUCCUGCCUGUCACACCUGUCAUCCUUGUAGCUGUCUCUACAUCUAUCAUCUUUCCUUUUUUACCUGCCUAUAUCUACAAUUCCCCUUGUCUCUUCUGUGCCCUUCCCACCUAUUUUAAUAUUCCUGGUAACUUUGAAUUGUAUACACUACUAUUCUCAGCUACAUCCAAAAUGCAUUUUGCAGAGCACCUUGCACAAAAGUAUUCACACAUACUUCAUCUGUAGUUUAUGUUAUUCUGGGUUAAGAACAUCUUUUCUAUGUUUUCCUACAGUUCUCAGGCCAAGGGGUCAUGGAUGAUGACAGCUCACAUCGACUUUGGAGCUGUUGUAUCUUUUAAGAGAAAUCAGGAAGAUGAGUUGGGAGACAUGCUUUACUUUCUUUGGUAGGAGAAUCUAUAAAUUAACAUUUAUGUAAGUGAGACUCUCACCACAUUUUUAAUGUUGUAUCACAUUUCGAGGCUGGAAAACAGAAUAUCUUGUAACUAGGUGAUCUUUAAGGUCCUUUUCAACCCAAGCUUUUCUAUGAUUCUGUGACCUCCAGAACAAGAUGAAUAUAGUGUUAAUAAUGCAAUCUUAUCUCUUGGCCAUAGGUGCUCCUCAGCUCUGCCUUGAGGUGACACCAUUAAGCAAGAGGUGACAAACCGGUUUCCUUUCUCAGGCUGAAUGUCACGAAACUGCUCAGUUUUGGGGGGGUUGCACCCUGGCUUUUCAAGCAGAGAUGUGCUGCUGUGGCCCCUUCCCACCCUGGCAGGAGGAGCUGGAACUGCUCAUUUACAGCUGUGACAUUUCUCAGGCAGGAAGAAAGGCAGAGGCAUCAGGGUGCAGGGAGGAAUCACAGCAGCCACCUUUAGACACCUCCGGAAAAAGAAACCUCCAGAACUCAUCCAGGGGAAUUGAGCUGCCAGGGUUAGACCUGGUACAAAGGAUGGUGGUACCUUUCUAUCCACCCAACAAGAUUUGCUGCCCUUAAAUGGGCGAGCAAAUACAUCCAACCCCAAAUGCUCUGCAGCUGAUAGCCCUGCUUCAAUGGAGGGAGCUCUGAACAGGGAUGAGUGCUGCAGCAUCAGGAAAGUCCAAAAAUCCCAAGGAGCGGUGCAGGGUAUUUGUCACCAACAAGAAAACAGCAUGUGAAAAGCUUGUGAUUGCUGUCCCCAGCAGCCUCACUGGAGGCACACACUUCCCAAGGCAGAGAGGACUUGCAGAACUGGAGAUCUUCAGUGAGAUCUCUCCCCUAACCCUGCAGAUUUACCAGGUCAGCUCAGUCCAGGCCAAAGUUGCCGGGAAAGGUCCUGGGCUCUACUCCAAGUUCAGUGCUCUAUUGAUUGGAAGGGGUAUUUAUUGUAGAUCAGGAUCUUGAGCCAAGACAGCUGAAGCUGCAAGGACUAAAUUGUCUAUUCCCAACCCAGAGAUAAAACAAAUGGCCAGUUUUAGCCUAAUCAUCACUUCUGUCUGAGGAAAGAGAAACUCUUUGAGGUAAGUUCCCUUGGAUAUAAUUCUUUCUUUCUAGGUUAGAGAAGGGCUGCAGCUAAUACAUAUCCUAAGUCAUAAUGUGGAUUUGCACCUUUCCUGUUAAAUAUAGCUGGUUUAUGUCCAAAGAUUCCCUUCUCUCCCUAAUGCUCACUCAUAUUGUUACAACUUCUACAUUAGUUGCAGGUGUGAAAUGCCAACUGAUCCACACUUCUGUCAGCAGGGGAGUAAUGUGUGUCAAAGGCCUGGUUCUCAGAGAGGAGGUCACCCAGAUCUCCAUUUGCACAUCUGCUUUGCUAAACACAAAACUCUGGAGGUUUGAAAAGCUCCAAUGUGCACAGAAAAAUGAGAUGUGAUCACUGGGGGCCAUACAGAAGGAGCUGCUUGUGCCUGUCAUUUAGUAGGCAGGACACAGAAUUUUCCCUCUGUACAAAAUUCUUCCUGCAUUACAACAGGUGAUGUUUUCUUGUAAGUUCUAUAUUACUCUGCACUAAUAGGACAUUUUAAACACAUGCAUUCAAGCAUCAUUCACCACUGUGCACUGUAUUUUUCCUCUCUCAGUUGACUAUUUCUAAAUUUUUUGAGAGGAUAAUGAAACCAAUAUUUAUCCAUUUUUAUCCAAAAUUAGAAAACAGCUGUAUGCUGAUGUUACCUGGAUGUAACAUCAUGUUACAUGGAAUUUAGAUCUUGUAUCCUCACAGUAACCUAGCUGGAUUAAAGAAAAGUGAUUUCUAAAGCCCAGAGCAUACUGGGGAGAGCCAGGAGCUGAACACAUAGCUCAGAGCACGUUUCAUGAGCACCUGAAAUUCCAGCCACGAGCCUCUGCUGCUCAUUAUGGACAUCUCCUCAAGGAAGGUGUUGAAAAUAAUUUUCACAAAAAUCAGAAGAGAUUCACUUUUAAUACUGAGGAAGGAGAGCACUUGCAUUUUUAAAAAAAGUUUGGUUCUGGAAAAGACUCUCUGUUGGUAAGUUGAGGAGCUGUGCUGUAGAGUGGCUCUUUGGCACUCAUGGAAGUGUCUGUUGAAUUCAGAGGUGGCCUUUCCCCUGAAAUUUACACCAGAAAUUCAGAAAUUUCAUCUUUGAUCAGAACCUUCCUGAGUAAUAGGAAUGACAUUGGUUUCCUUGGGCUGUACAUUAUAGAUAUGAUAGACCCAUGAAAACAAAUGGAGAAAGGGAUACUGAUUUUCUUGGAAUGAAAUACAGAAAAUUUGGACUUGGAAAACAUUUGAAUAUAACAUGCUGAAAGUUUAAAGAAACAUUUUUAAAGAAACAUUUUCCAAGAGCGUGCCUGUUAGUUUUAUCUUCAUUUUUGCCAUGUAUAAUUACGAGAAACACAGACAACUCAUAAGAUUUUUUAGUUUCUGUUGAGAAUUGCCUUUUCCAAGAUAAUUCUGUACACUAUUACUUUAGCCCACUGGGUAUCAUGUAGGGAAGGUGUAAGAUUAUACACAUGAAUAUUUCUGUCUACCACUUAUGCGUGCUGAGACAAUAUCAACUUCUACUUUCUCCUGUCAUUGGUCCUUAUUCCAUAGAGGAUAUUCUUAAUUACCAGCAAGACAAUUUGGUAAUAUCAUGUAAAGUGUAACAGCAUAAUUUCUGUGAUGAUUUACACCUGCUAAGGAUGUGAAUACUGAAUUUUAAAGCAUAUUUUAAGUUCAGAAGAAAGAGUGUUUUUUUCUACAAGACACUAUUUCUAUUUUUAAUAGAAAUACUCUAAUUUAUUUAAUUUACUAGCACUGUUCUAAAUGAAAUGGAGCUUUUGAACAUGAAUACACCAUUUUACACAUUUUCACUGCCCUGAAAAAUUUAGAGCACACUUCUGUACUGGAUUAAAUCAACUUGACUCUAAAUGCCUAAACACUAUUUUUGACAACUGUGCAUGAGGGACGUGCCUGUACAGGGAUUCUAAAGAAUAAAAAACCUAAAAAUAUCUCAGUUGCAAAGAAAAUUCCCUGCAUUCCUUCUUACACUUCGUAAUAGUGGUUAUAUAUAUAUAUCUUUUUUAACCCUCACAGGUUUAUCCCUAAUUCUGUUGGAAAUAAUUGAAAUUAUUCCAUUGACUUUAACAGACUCUGUUUCCUGGAUUAAAUGUGAAAUCUGUGCAUUGGAUUUGCUGGUGAUGUCCCACUAAUGAAACAGAAACCCGUGUAAAACCUCAGGCUUUCCUGUCACUGUGCAAAAGGGGAUGAGGAAAAUGACAGGACGUGGGAAGAAGCAUCACCUGUUGCUCCAACACCAGGCUCCUGUAGAGCAGAAACUGGAGCAAAGAAGAGAAAUACGUGUUUGUCAUUGAACUGAGCUGAGAAGAAGGAAGAGGAGAAUGAUAAGAUCAUAGCCUGCAGCACUUUGUUUAUGAGAACAUCCUUCCAGUGAUAUAUGUCUGCACCAGGUGAAAGUAUUGUGUCACCCCUAACAUAUUUUAAAUGCCAGGGCUGUCAUGCAAGAAGACAAUGAUGAACAAGUUUAAACAGAAUAUGGUUUUGUAGCCAUGUACAGAGUUACCCUUUGAAGGUUUGCACUGGUAGUGCUUCUCAGCAAAAUGUUUCCAAGCUCUGUUAUAUUCCCCUACAGAACCCUUCUCACACAGAAUUUAAACUAAAUGGAGACAUUUCUAUUGCAGGCAAACUGAUGGGGUUAUACAUAAAGCAGUGCAUUUCCUCAGGCUGGGUUUUCAGGCCAUUUCUCACGUCCUCCCUGCCAUCCUAUCCAAGUUUGUCAUAACUCCAGUCAGCAUAGAGGCAAAGAAAGGUCUGAGGAGCAGGAUCUGGCUUUACUGAGAGAUUUACUCAGACUAGCCCUAGCAUGCUCCUGUGGACUGAAUUCCCAUUAGCUGCUGCAGCUCCCAGACCACAUCACCUGCUUUAAUUCCACACUAAAGAAUUCCCUUUGCGUGCUCCGAGGCUGCCUGGCCUGGUGGGACGGGGUAAGCAGGGUUAUUUGGAGGAUUCUCUUCCAAAGUGCACUCCUGGGCCAAGUGGAAGGCUAAUGCAGAAGCCUUUCCUCACCAGGCAGAUAUGCCCAGAGCUAUCAUCACAUGGCAUUUUUCUUCCCAGAUAUUUAUCUGGAGCUCAACUGCACAAACACCAUCCCCACGUUAUAACACCAUUGCACAACAGCACUCACUGACUGGCUCAGACUGACAGCUCAAAUUGAGCCUUGGGAAAGGCAACAUCCAACACAUGAUACUGAGAAUGGGCAUGACCAUAUCCACCUUGGAUUCAGGUGAAAGAGCUUUGGCUGUGUGUGUCACGUGGGAAUGAAGGCAGCCGUGACACCGCGGAGUUGCAGGGCUUUGAGGAAGACUAAGGUCAGAGCCACUCCAUGACCCAUCCAGGACAGCAUCAAUAACUUUACAAGACAGAGGAAAGGGAGCUUCUGAUUGCCUGAAAAAACCUUCAAGGAGGUAGGAUUUCUCAAGUACUUAUUAAGGUCCUGUGUGGGCUCGUGUUAACGCUUUCAGCAUCUGCCCCUCAGUUUUCCUUUCUGUAAAAUGGACAUACCUUGUUUUCCUCACAAGGUUAUUAGGAGGAUUUUCCAAUUAAGGUUCAUCAUAGAUGAAAGUGACUUGCAAACAGUAUAAUCACCUAGCUAAAAAUGGUCUCCAACUUCUUUGGGCAGAAUGUGAGUUUUUGUAGGGACUAGUCACAGUGUCCAGCUUAACAGAAGGCUAUGGGAUCACACUCUGCAUCUUUAAGACAGAGUUUACUUCUGAAUCAGUAAAUGUACUAGACAAAGCAGCCAUUAUUUAUGCAUUCCUGCAUACAUGGCAAGGUGAAAAUAAUAGAAUAAACAUCAUAUACUUCAUUAUGAUAUCGGUUUACACUUCCAGGGUACACAAAAAGAGACCAUUUCAUCAAGCUAAUUGCCUGAAAGUAAAAGAGAGAGAACUUUAGCUAUUAGUCUAUUAUGGGGCUUUUUUCUUAAUCACAAAUAGGGGCCGUGUGUCCCCAGGGGGAUGUGUAUUCUAAUUUACAAUUGAACUACAGAUCAGAGCAAUCAAUCUUGUGCAGCACUUUUACAGUGUAAUUGCUGCAACAUAACAAAUAAAAAAAAAAAAAAAAGAAAAAAAAAAAGAAAAAAAAAAAAAAGCAGCCUAAGUCGAGUUUCAGCUUGAGGUGGAGAUAUUUACCAGGCAUUGGUUCGGGGGUGGGAGGGAGGCAGAGAGAGGAGAGAGGCGCCAAAGCCAUGAAUAUGCAAUGAGGGCUCAUUAGUGCCCCAGUGUUGCCAUGACGAAUGGCAUUAUCCCCAGACUGGUGCAGCCUAAACAUGAAUUUUAUAACGACCCAUUUAUCAUGACUUGUCAUGGGUUUCUUUACUGUACUUUCUACUGACUCUCACACCUUCCACCAUUAGCACCUCAGAAUCCCUUCCUUUUGUUCUUUUAUCUGAUUCCAUCUUAGUUUUUGGUAAGGAUUCUCAGUCCAUAAGGAGAGGAGGGCUGCAAUUCUGGUGUUCAAGAGUUCAGAGCUCCCCUAGAUGAAGACCCACUGCCAAACUGUUGGUGGUCUUCAGUCCACUUACAGUGGCUGAGUGUCCCCAUUGUCACAACAUCUGCAAUCUUGUCAGUUGACUCAGCAGAAAGGUCUUGGAUUGACCGAGCAUCCAGACUAUCUUUCCACUCUGCCAGAUGUGAUGGAUGAAUCUGUUUUGUUGACCUAGGCCUGUCUCCUCCUCAGCCCACUCCAGCUAUGUGCACAGUGUAACAAUCCACCCCUCGUCUUCACAUUGGAAAAGGCACAAAAUCAGAUAAAUAAACAAAAACUGCUUUCUCCCCAGUUUCACUUAAAUGGAAAAAAAAAAAAAAAAAAAAGUCCUAGGUGUAAAACCUAACUGAUAGGGAAAGCAUUUAGUUUAUGGGAGGAAGCAAUAUUAGUCAACUCUACAGGAAAACAAAAUCACUGUGAAGCAAUUAGUGUCUGGCUUUAGCUCAUUUUUGGUCACUGCACGUUGUCUCUGUUUUACUGCUGUCCCUUUGGCCUACCAGAUCCCACAUUUAAUAUACCACUGCUUAUAAAGAAAUCCCUGUGGCUCAGAAGGCUGAAUUGCCACUGCUGGGCUAGGGCCUGCUCUCUAGAAUAUAGAGGCUUUCAUUUCCCAAGUUAUGAAUCUGACAUCUCAUGGCCAAAUCCAUGCCAGUUUAUUUCUGGGAAGUCUGUCCUCAUUAUUUACCUCAAAUAGUUUCACUGUCAGUCUGCCUUUUCUUUUUCUCCACUGUGAAGUGGCUGGAGUAUCUGAAAGUAUCAAGCCCCUCUCUGUUGGAUUUUACAUUUUUGCUAUUACAAGAAUUUGUCUUUAGGGAUAGAAAAAUCAAGCAACUUAUUUUCAGCUAUUAGUUGGAUAGGAUUCCAUGUUCUUAAACAAGUUGUGAGCUCCCAUGAUCUCUGAAAACAACUCUCCUGAAGUCUUACAUCAGGGUAGUCCUACAGUUCUUUCAUUACUCUACUGGAGUUUGAAAAUAUUAAAAGGCAUCUAAGGUCCCAGGCCAGCACUUUAUAGAGUCAAAGUCUGCUGAUGUAGCCCUCAAAACCUCCAUUUCUUCCACAAAAUCUGCACCUUGCUGUUAUUGUCUCCAAGACAGCCACGUGUUUCACCAGGAGCAGUUUGUCAAAGCCACAGUCCAUUAUCCAAAGAUUCAUCACAGGUUCCCACUCUGGUACACGUGGAAGAGAGGCUGGAUGUCAGAAAGGGAGGACAAAAGACAAAGGAAAGCUUCCUCUCAGAAAGGUGCAUUUGGGAAAUGACACACCUUGGUUGAUCAGGGCAUAGCUGAUUAGGCCAGCAAAUAAUUGCCAUUUUGCUUUUUUUUCUUUUUCAAACCCAUCUGUGUUCCUUUGGAGAAUAUAGAUAUAUAUAAAAAUAUAUGUAUGUGCAACUUUUUAAAGCCCCAGACAGAAUCUUCCACAAGUCCAUGACCUAUGAUGGAGAUCUCCAGCUCCCACUACAAUACAAUGUUCUGUUAAUUAUCAGGAGACAAAAGAAGAAUAGAAAUCACUCUUAAAGAAGCAAACCAGAAACGACGUCUAAUAUUGCAGAAAAUGUCCACUGUCUUCACAAGGGCUCAGGACAGCAAAUAUUAUCAUUAUUCCUGAGAAUAAAUGUUUUCCCUGUGACCCAGGUGAUCUGAUCACCUAUUGAGUGGAGAGCUGUCACAAACAAUGUGGUUUAAUUAAGUUAUUUUAAUUUAGCUCCUAUUAGGAGUACUAAAACUGACUGUGCUCAGUCUCUAAGAUCAGGUUGAUUCAUCUGAUCCAUUAUCUGUAGUUUAUGUGAUGGAAUAAGCAGAUUCCUGUUUGAGUUGGUUGCAGGAACCCACAGGUCCAAUCUAUGGAGGUUAUUCCAUUAUUUUUAUAUCAGUACUUGCAGCUCCCUUUGAGAAGCAGGCUCAUCUUUCUUCCACUCACCUCAUGGAGGAGGCAAACAUGGAAACAAGGAAUGUUAAGGGCCAGCCAAUGCAGGUGACACCAAGCUCUGUGUCACCUUAGCACCCAGUACCACUGGAACCACAGAAUCACAGCAGAGUUUUCUAGGUUGGGAUCAACAACCAUAUGGAGGGCAGCUGUCCAGGAAAGGAAAACCUUCACUAUUCCUCAGACAACCCACAAAUGGCAAUCAUUAAAAUAAAAUAAUUGCAAUCUUUAAAAUAUUAAGUCCUUGGUUCUAAACUGACAGGACUCUAAUGAUAGGAAACACACAAAUUUCAGGAGGAAAAUGUUAUUUUCAUUGUCAUAUGAAUCCAGCUUCCAAUAAAGUAUCAAAUUUGAGAUUGUUUCAUAGAGAAAUUAAGAAAUAUAAGCUGUAUUUUCAUGUGGAAGAAAAAUCUAUAAAGUGGAACUAAUUGUUUAUCCUGAAUUUAGGGUAAUUUUUGUGACCAGAUGCUGUAGGAUCAGAAAUAGGCUGUCAACAGACUCACUCAUGAAAAUUCUUCAUUAAAAAUAUAUAUUUGAAUGUAAUAAAAUUCUGACCAUACAGUAAAAAUCUGCGAAAUUAUAUAUGCAGUAGUUUUCUGCAUUUACAGAUAGAAUCCAUAAACUUAUGGAAAAAAAAACCCACUGAGUAAAACUUCAGGUGUGAUCACUAUUUAAUGCUUUUUAAUGUCCUUUCAACUGACAUAUAUACAAGAAAAAGAAAAAAAAACCCAUAAACCCAGACUCUAUUUCUCUGUGUAAAGUGAUGCUCUUUUAAAGACAUGAUAAAAUUCUAAUCCUGAACACAAAACUCCUUCUGACUGAAUACUGAAGUGUUUGAACACCCAGGCAGUGCCAGGGACACAUCCUUAUGUGCUAAAUAAGGGCUGACCAGCCCUUUUUUCUACUUUUAUGGAGAAAUUCAUCCCUCCCUUUUUAGUUCUGUUUCAAAUAUGACCUAAUAUUUUUUUUUCCUCUGUUCAAGGCUUGGCUUCAGUCCUCCUACUUCAGCUUUGUCUUUAAGGCUCCUCACCAUUCUCCAAGUGGAGCCAAUGGCUUGCUGCUCCCCACCUUUAAACAAACAAACACAAUGUCCUUCUUCCCCCUUCCUCCCCACUUUCUUUAAUGACAUCUUCAGUCAUUAAUGAGUUAAUAAAAAUCUCAAAGUCAUCUGGGAAUAGAUAAGGGGGAAGAAAGAAGAGUAUUGUACACAUAAUGACAGGCUCCCUGCUGGCCCUAAGAUGUCAUGGGUCAGCCAUGUCAAGAAUGUGUGUGCCCAAUCAUCUGCUGAUUUUUAUCAGCAAGGCCUGGAGCAGAAUCUGACACGGCCAGUUUGGGAGUUACAAUGAAUAAACAAUGACUUCUUGGGUUGUUGGAGGCUGUGUGAUGGAGUGAGAGGGUUUAUAUAUACUAAAACAUGAUGACAUUAGCAAUCAAUAUACCAAUUACUGGACAAGUUAUUGGACGAAGAAUGCACAUGUCCUGAGCUUUGUGCACUUUGAACAUGCUACCAGCAAAGGAGACCACAGAAAUCAUGUUAAUUAAUCCAUUUCAAGCUUGGUAUGCUAAUACCUGAUGAUGACUUGAAGUUUCUGAGAGCAUGAGGUAGAAAAAGCCUUGGUCUGAUAUAGCACAUUAAACAUUUUAAAUAUAAGACACAAGCCUGACAAAUUUAUUUUUCCUUAGGACUUGUGGAAGAAAGGAAUAAAUUUUUUCAAGUGACAACUGAGAUUCUAACAGACUUGAAUUGUUCUCUAUAAAAUUUCACCUAAACACCCUCAGCACACUACACUAAUGUAAUCACUGAGAAGUUAGAACACAUCUCUUACAGGCUGGUUAAGGAAAUAUCCCAACAACUCACACCUGCCUAGUCUUAAGUAGAGAAAGGAAGAUAAAACUCUCACACGCUUUUUUAUUUCUGUGUGACUGGAAAUGCAUUUCUGCAUCUGAUCAGUCUCUUACAUUCUUGAGUGUGCUCAAAAUAUUCAGUGUUUAUGAGUUUGUCUUCUCUUAUUCUGGAAGUGAUUGUGAAGAUAAAGUGACAGUAUUUUAAUUGAAGCCAGAAUAGAAUGGGAUUAUAUGUCACCUAAUUCCAAGUACAACGUGGAAGAAAACAAAAGUGGAGAUCAACACUGCAUGCAGACCUAAACUGGAGUUAAAUGGUGUCAGCUCUCCAUUAAGAUGGACAAGUCCAUGAUCUACUGGAAAGCUCAUGGGUUUUGCCCUGAGAUGCAUUGUUAAAAUGAUGUGGGAAAGACAGGUUUUAUGAUGGUUCUCCAUCCUUUUCUGUGUCGUCUCUGAAUGACAACUUUACUGCUAUCUGGAAACAGCAGUGCCACAGACCCUCUGACUUUUGCUCAGGUGGGAGCAAACAAGGCAGGGUGUAAAUAUAAAAUUUAACUCUGCCUGCCAGGGCAUCAACCAAUGCAGCAGAAAUUGUGCAGAAGUAGGGAGGAGAAGAGUUCAGACAUCAGAGUGGCUCUGUGUACUUGCUGUGUGUCAGGGGCUGAGUAAAAUCUGCAGACACAUCUCUUUCAGACCACCUUUGUGGUGUUACUCUAAAUUCAGCCAAAUCUGCUCCUGCUCCCCAGAGCACUAAGCCCUGCUUAGAGUUGUGUUGGCUGGUGAUGGCAGAGGAACCAGCCUCAAAGAGGAGAAAUAGCUGAUUCCAUCUGGUUUUAACUGCAGUUAAGAAGAGCUCAGCUGGAUCCUUCCAAAUGGCUCUCCCCUUCCCAUUGAGGAAGUUCUUGAAAAGUUUAAAAGUGAAUUUGUCCAGCAUGUGUGAUAUGAAUAAUGAAAUGCUUUUAAAUGUAAAUGUUUCAUAAAAUAGCAGCAUUACCAUACAUUGCAGUGAAUACAGUUUAAAAAAGCCAACUCAAUAAUCCCUCCUCUGUAAUUUACAAUUAACUUUUUGCCUCAAGGUAACAGCUACAUUCACAAAAAUAAUGGUAAUAGAUUGACCUUGUUAUGAAUGGAUAACAAGCUGGAAACAAUAUAGUUUGUCACAGAGCAUUAACUGUUACUGUUGAAAUUGUAAAUAAUGUGUAUAGAACUUACAGUGUAAAUGGCUCCCCUUAAAAAUAUUAAUUAUGUCAAUUAAACACUUGAUGCAUAAUGGAUUAUUCUCAAACCUAUUUAAGUUCAUGUCAGACUGAGUACACCAUUUUCUAAGAUCCCAUUCCCAGACUACUGGAAAAAUCUGUGGCUGUGCUUUGACUAGUCCAGGUGGACAAAGGAAUAUUGUCUUAAAUUAAAGAUAUAUGGCUGCCUCUUCUGUUUAUAUUUCUCACUGCUUUUUGUCAUCAGAAGGUGAGACUGUUUACAGACACAAGGCUCUUCUGAAGUGUUUUCAGGCUGCUUUGGAAACUGUUGAAAAGCAACCCUCACCCAGCAGUGCUGGCAGUCACUGGAGCAUGUCCAUGGGAUGCAGAGAACUCCACUGGCUUUUGUGCUGGAAUCACUGGUGAUGGGGCAGAGGACAGAUCAGCUUUACACCUGGCUGGUUCCUCUCACCUAAGUGAUCUAACUCAGCAUUCUCAAGCCAGUGAAAGCUGAGGGUGAUGCUGUUCAAAUCUCCUCCUUGUGUGUCCUUUGGAGCCCGGGCUGUGCUCACCCAGGAGAAGGAGGUUGCUAUCACAUGGCUUUAGGGAGUAUUCCAAGUUGAUAUAUAACACAUGGCUUAGACAAAAUUAGUUUUCUCCCAGUGCCUGAUGGCCACCAAUUCAUGAACAUGACACUGAAAUGUACUUUUUGUGCUUCCCAGACACAGCUCCUCAGCUGUAGCUCAAGACUGGACUUAACAGCACAAUACUUCAGUGUUCUGGCCAAUUACCACGUUGCCUUAUAAAGGAAGGAUUCCCACUAGAUUAUCCACAUAGAGAAAGUGAUACUAAAGUGACAAGCCACCAAGAGGUCAAAUAACCAGUUGCCAGAAGUUAAAAUAACUAGACUGUGGAGCAGCAGUAUCUGAGGAGCUGGCAUGUGUCCCAGGACUGGUUGUCACACAAAUGAAAGAAAAGACAGCUGGAAUCUUUUUGGAUUGACUGUUAUUUUCUGCGAAUAUAAUGUAAAUCUACCACUCUGGUUUUUCAACCAGACGCCUGAACUGGGAGUUGAGAAACUGAUUCAGUAAAAUACAAGGUCUCUUUAUAUCUCA